UCUGGUUUUACUUGUGUUGUAGGUUAUUUCUUCUGGUUUCCUGUGUUUUGUAGGUUAUUCUCUGGUUUACUGUGUUGUAGGUUAUUUCUCUGGUUUACUGUGUUGUAGGUUAUUUCUCUGGUUUACUGUGUUGUAGGUUAUUUCUCUGGUUUACUGUGUUGUAGGUUAUUUCUCUGCGUUUUACUGUGUGUUGUAGGUUAUUUCUCUGGUUUUACGUGUUGUAGGUUAUUUCUCUGGUUACUGUGUGUUGUGUUGUAGGUUAUUUCUCUGGUUUUACUGGUGUGUAGGUUAUUUCUGUGGUUAUCAACCGACC
rnacentral:lncRNA from 1 species